GGGCCCUUGUCGCGCGCCGCCCCUGAACGGCUCGAAUUGCGUGGACUGCCGUUAUCCGCGACCAGGGCUCCUCGUAGACUCACGUUGCAGACCACGGGCCUGGCGGGCUACAUUCUCCACGGGGCCAGGACCCUAGGGAGUUCUUACCCAGGUUGGGGCCUGUGUUUCCUCCUCGGGGGGCUACAGUGAGGAGACUGCCAGGUGAGGCGCGUCUGGGAGACUCCCAGCAUGGCGAGGAUGGAAUUCGGCUUAGUGGGAGUAAAAAGAUCCUCCCGCUUGGUUUCUUUAGCUCAACCCAACGUUUUGGUAAGGAAGACUUCGGGGCCAGUAUCACCCACUCCUGCCAACCUCAGGCUGUGCCCCUUUGGGGCUUGCAUAGCUUUCCUGCCAUCCAAGCUGCUUGGAAGGAGCGCCCACAACCUUUCGUGCCAGGCCUGCUAGAUCGCGCAACUUACCGAAAGGGGCAAUCAAUGACGUUACUUCCAAAAGGAGUGUCAAUUUGUGCAUCAGUGCGUGGAGAUAAAUUCCCAUGGACAACCCUCUGAAGGACUUGGGAACGAAUGAAGCACUUAGAAAAACUUUAUCCAUUACCCAGACCAUGGGACUUCUGGAACAUUACCAUCACAGACCAUCCAGAGGCUCAGGAUGCAGGACUGGUGCUUUUCAAGAAGUCUAAUUGUGGAGGACGUUGCUUCACUGGCCCA